GGUACAUACAUCUCUUGUCUCCACUUUCAAUUCAUAGUCUUCUUUGCAGUUCGUUUAACAUUCGGCGAGAGACACUUUUCUGCAGCUUCGCAGCCACGCCCUCAACUUUGCCAGGAUGGCGACCCACAAGCGGCGGGGUGGGGGGCCGUGGGGCGAGCCAGACUUCUUGGCUCCAGGCUCCUUGACGGUGGGGGGCAGUGGGAAGAGCUUCCCAGGCUAUUGGCUCUGGGCGGAGGCCACAACGGCACAUGGCUGCAUUUAGGAGCGCCCAGGGCUCCGGCGACCAGCUCAGGCUGCGGCGAUCAUGGCGGCUUUCCAAUUGUGGAGGGACUAUUUCCAGCUGGCGCGCGUGGUGCAAGAGAUGCGCUGGCGGAGCGCGAGGAGCAGCUGGCCGGGGGCUUUCGCGGACCAGGCGCCGCCGCCACGCAAGGAGGCGCCCCCUGCCGGGGUCAGCAGGCCGGCGCGCCACUGCGCCUUCUGCAAGCACAACGGCGAGUCGAGGGCCAUCUACGCGUCGCACGCGCUGAAGGACUCAGCAGGGAGGGUGCAGUGCCCGAUCCUGAGAAAUUACACUUGCCCUCAGUGCGGGGCAUCUCAGGAUCGGGCGCACACGAGGAAGUUCUGCCCUUUAACCAACAAGGGCUACACGUCCGUCUACAGCUGCAUCCGGAAUUCGGCCGGGAAGAAGGCAAGCAACUUCAAAACGAAGCCAGCCUAUCCUAAAACUUAAAAAAUAAAAAGGUGGGAAGGGGAAUAUUAUUCUCUCUCUCUCUCUCGUUUUCUCUUUCAGCAGCAAAGGUUCCAACCUGGUGGUACAUUUGCAGCUGUACCAGAGCUAGCACUUUUCUUGAAGUCAAGGGAAACUUUGGAUCUAAUACACCCCAAGUGGUUGGUCUGCAGGAAUCAACUAAAAUAUUCAGACCUGGAGAGAAAAAGGAGAGAGGGAAAGAUAGUCCAGGAUGGCAACAUUUACUUUAGGUGGCACUGGUACAUCACACCAAGGGCCUGGAAAUGAAUUCUCUCAGUACUAUCAUAAUCAACUGACUCGCUAUUCUUGUUUUUUAAUCCAGCUACUCUUCCUGCUUGAAUUAUUUCACAUUCAUGUUAUUACAGAUGUCUGACUCAGUGUGAAGAGUGUCCACUUGAGACAAAUGUUACCUAAUUUCCCAAAUUACCAGUCUGAAGUCUCCCAAUGUUUGUAUUUGUUUAAAGUUUUGUUUAAAUGCAUGCUUGUUUUUCAAGUGAUAUUUGUUGGCCAGGUUUUAUUUGGUUCUUAAGACGUAUGGUCAAUAAUUACUUCGUUUUGUUAA